GGCCCGGAGACGCUCUAGCUGCCCGCAAGUUGGCAGUUGUGAAGUGCGGUGGUGGUGGUAAGUGUAGUGGUGGUGGCGACGGCGUCGUCUGGGGAGGCUCCUGCAUGGUCUGAUGCUGUGUGACCCGAACGCCCCGGGAACGAGGCUGCGGCCAGGGAAGGCUCUUGCUGACAGACCGUAGGAGUUCCCAGAACCAUCGCGAAUGGGCACGCUGCGGGAAAACAACCCUCACAUCUGACACCAACAGGAGGCAAGGAACUUAGCCCUAAAGGCGCCCUAGUCAUGGGAGGACUCUGAGUACUCAAACAGACUGAGUCUCACAGGUCCAGCUACACUGGAGACGGUUCGGUUCUAAGCUCGUUCUGGCGGUUGUCUCCGAAACAAGGACUCUGGCUCAGCCAACCUCUGGGAAAGUACAAAGCAAGACUCUCCUUUUCCUUCCACACCGCCAGGGACAUUUUAACAAAAGCCUGGUUCUUCCCAUGCCCAAAGGCGCCCCAUGCAUUUCCUAUUCUCCACAAUGGGUUCUGCUGCUGUCUGCUGGCUCCUCCAGGAAUAUCGAGAAGCCAAACCAUCCAGUCUUCUUGGACAGAAAACCGCAGCAGUGCAAGCAAGCCACAUCCAUCGGACUCUGCAUUCCCCACUUUACCCUUUGGAAAACCUUGAUUAGGCUGAUGGUGUGAAGCUGCCCAUAGUUGGUAAUAGGGAGUGCACUGGGAGCCUUUAGGUCUGGCCUGAAUGGUAUUUUUGGCCAGGUUUUAAGAUCAAACACACACACACACACACACACACACACACACACACAGAGAGAGAGAGAGAGAGAGAGAGACAGAGACAGAGACAGAGACAGAGAGACAGAGAGAGACAGACAGAGAGACAGACAGAGAGAGAUUGAAGGGAAUGGAGAGUCAAAAGCAGAUAUUUGAGUAUUGCUGUCUAAGGCUUAGAAUAUGAGCAUGUCUUAGACUAUCUUCUUGGACUGGGUAGAUCCAAUCAGUGCUUAGACCUGUACUUGUGCAUCCAACUCAAGUUAAAAGGAAUGCACAACAGGACAAGAAAGGGACCAAACUUGCUAAUGGUCUGCCAAUCACGUGUCCCCCACCUCCAUACUCUUGCUUCUAACCCAAACACUUCAGAUCACUGUCUCAGUUCUGAGAAACUCUAAGGGAUUAUGUAGCCAUUUAGUACAGGUGACUGACUAUUCAUGUGUGAGAGAGCCACAGGUGUAAUUUCAAUGGCCAUCUGACUUCCACAACUUCCUCCUUUAUAACUCAUGUCUCAUGAAAAGGUUCUGAUGAGGUCACCAGGGAGAAGGAAGGUAAAAGGCCAGCUUUCAUCUGGCAAGAAACGAAACAGCACCAGCAGCAGAGAAAGCUGCGACUCAGGUGAGCUCUGUCAUGGGUUUGGUUUAAACUCUGUGGAAAGAGGUUCGCAGGCAGGUUCUCAGAAGGGGAAAAAUGGGACCUUAACAAGCUGUAGAAAAAAUUAGUGAUCUUAAAGUGCACAUUAAGUUCUUUCUUCCUUACUGAACCACAAAGACUGGUAGCGAUAAGAUUCAAUUCCAGCAGUCACUAGCAGCUAUGGAGUGACUAAAGGGAAUGACCUUUGCCUACAAAACUUUAGAGGUAGAUAAGGUGAAGAGAAUAUAAGAAUCUCUAUUCAUAUUGGGAUGGAGUGGGAUUGGGGUGAGGACAGGUCUGGAGAUCUCAGAAAAGAAGGUCCAGACGACUACUCCCCGGUUCUAGUAGUGUGUCUGUCAGAGUUCCUCAGUGUGACAAAAUACCCAAGGAAGUGUGUUGUAUUGGCUUACAGUUAGAGUUCAUGAUCUCUUGAUCUCUUUGGGCCCUUGGCAGCAUGGUGCCUCAUGGGGGAAGCCCUAGGUAGAACACCACCACACACUCCAGUGGUGACCAAGAAUAGGGGGUUGGACAGAGAAGGGAGACAGAUGGAGAUGCCCCAGUGUCUUUUCCACGGGCCCUGCUUCCUAAAGGGUUUGCAACCUCCUGAUAGUGCCACAGGCUGGAAACCAACCCUCCAACCCGUGUGUCUUGGAUCCAAACUACAGUAAGCAGGAGACCUUCAAUCUUCUGUUUGCUUUCACGGCCCUCUGGAAGCCCCUUAGCUGAGGGCUGCCAUGGAACAUCAUCUUUAGCUGGGAUAAUCAGGAAGCUGCCAUGGAAGAACUGUAUUUCUUUGGACUUUUUCCAUUCACACUUACGAUGUAACGAGAAGUUGACUAUCAGUGCUCAUCAUGAUCACACCCUCUGAGGGUUUCUCACUGGUGCUAAUUGUUAUUUUAAAACCCUCUUUUGGCUGGUAGGAUGGCUCAGACAGUAAAGAGUAUUUUGCUACUAAGUCUGAAUACCUCAGUUCUACCCCUGGGCCCCACUUAGGGGAAUAGAAGUGACUUCCCUCAAAUUGACUUCUUACCGCCACAUGUGCACCAUGGUGCAUGUGCAUGGGUGUGUGUACACCCCCCCAACGAUUAUAAUAUUAAAAUAUUAAAAAUAAUUUUAGUAGAGAGAG
rnacentral:lncRNA from 1 species